GACGAACGCUGGCGGCGUGCCUAAUACAUGCAAGUCGAGCGAAGUUUUUCUGGUGCUUGCACUAGAAAAACUUAGCGGCGAACGGGUGAGUAACACGUAAAGAACCUGCCUCAUAGACUGGGACAACUAUUGGAAACGAUAGCUAAUACCGGAUAACAGUAUUUCUCGCAUGAGAGAUAUUUAAAAGUUGGUUAUGCUAACACUAUGAGAUGGCUUUGCGGUGCAUUAGCUAGUUGGUGGGGUAAAGGCCCACCAAGGCGACGAUGCAUAGCCGACCUGAGAGGGUGAUCGGCCACACUGGGACUGAGACACGGCCCAGAACCCUACGGGAGGCAGCAGUAGGGAAUCUUCCGCAAUGGGCGAAAGCCUGACGGAGCAACGCCGCGUGAGUGAAGAAGGAUUUCGGUUCGUAAAGCUCUGUUGUUAGGGAAGAAUGGAUAUGUAGUAACUAUACAUGUAAGAGACGGUACCUAACCAGAAAGCCACGGCUAACUACGUG
rnacentral:rRNA from 1 species